UACGUAGGGUGCAAGCGUUAAUCGGAAUUACUGGGCGUAAAGCGUGCGCAGGCGGCUUUGCAAGACAGAUGUGAAAUCCCCGGGCUCAACCUGGGAACUGCAUUUGUGACUGCAUCGCUGGAGUGCGGCAGAGGGGGAUGGAAUUCCGCGUGUAGCAGUGAAAUGCGUAGAUAUGCGGAGGGACACCGAUGGCGAAGGCAAUCCCCUGGGCCUGCACUGACGCUCAUGCACGAAAGCGUGGGGAGCAAACAGG
rnacentral:rRNA from 1 species